GAUACUGGCGGACGGGUGAGUAACACGUGGGUAACCUGCCCUAUAGACUGGGAUAACUCGCGGAACGUGAGCUAAUACCGGAUAAUACAUCAAAGCGCAUGUUUUGAUGUUGAAAGAUGGUUCUGCUAUCACUAUAGGAUGGGCCCGCGGCGCAUUAGCUAGUUGGUGAGGUAACGGCUCACCAAGGCGACGAUGCGUAGCCGACCUGAGAGGGUGAUCGGCCACACUGGGACUGAGACACGGCCCAGACUCCUACGGGAGGCAGCAGUAGGGAAUCUUCCGCAAUGGACGAAAGUCUGACGGAGCAACGCCGCGUGAGUGAUGAAGGUUUUCGGAUCGUAAAACUCUGUUGUUAGGGAAGAACAAGUACCGUUCGAAUAGGGCGUACCUUGACGGUACCUAACCAGAAAGCCACGGCUAACUACGUGCCAGCAGCCGCGGUAAUACG
rnacentral:rRNA from 1 species